rnacentral:misc_RNA from 1 species
UUAAGUUCAGCGGGUAGUCCUACCUGAUUUGAGGUCAGAGAUAAAAGUGUAUUAGAGUGGAGGGAGCGAAAACUUAUUACGCAUUCCACUUAGACAUUUAAGACGAGCCAAAGCAUGGCAGGCGUCCAAAGCACCCAACUCGGAAACCCGAGAGGAUGAGUCUAUAUGACACUCAAACAGGCAUGCUCUUCGGAAUACCA